ACCUCUGUGGUGCAAUGGGUCAGUGUGUGUCUGGCUAUUAACCAGAAAGUUGGUGGUUUGAGCCCACCAAGGGAUG